GCCCAUAUAGCUUAAUGGUAAAGCAAUGUACUGUUAAUACAUCAGAUCGUGGUUCGAUUCCAUGUGUGGGCG
rnacentral:tRNA from 1 species